GGUGGGAGCUGGCUUGCCUGCGAUGCAGGCGACGCGGUCUUUCAGUAGUGCCGGGGCGAUGCCAUCGCAGGCAAGCCAGCUCCCACA
rnacentral:misc_RNA from 1 species